UAAAAAAAAGUAUUUUCAAUGUUACACAAGAAGACGUUGAAAAUGUGGAGAAUUUUACAUCUGAUUUUGAAAUGAAGUGUAGGUACCAUCAGGAGAAAACUGAUGUUAUUCAAAUACAAAUAUAUAUGAAGACACUGUGCGGAAAUUCUUGUUUCGAGCGUUAAAUAUCACAAAUAGAAAAAUAUGUUACACAACUCCUACAGCAUUUAUAACCUUCGUCAAAGCUUGUCAUUGAAACAAUGUUUUUUUUCAUCUUUGGAGUUCGUUUUCCGCAACAUACUACGUGCUUCCAACGAUGAAGUUUGUUAUGACUAUAUGGUGCCAAGUUUAAUAAAUAUACAAACCAGAAACAUUCCUUAAAUUAACUUUGUUUUUAGUGUUUUCUCAUGUUACCUUCUUCAGGUUAACAAUAAUUUUUAACUAGGUUUGAAACUUCGUGAGAAUUUAACAUAUGGGGGUUUAAAAUAAUGUAUGAUAGAUUUAUUUUGAUUGUUCAUUAUGUCCAUUAAAAAAAAGGUAUGCUGUUUAAUGCAAUGCAUUGUUUUCUCAUGGCUAAUUUAAUGUUAGGGUGUUAUCUGCGGUAAAAUCUAAGUUUUUUGUUGCAUUUUUUAUGGGCAUCCAUAAUGAUGUUAGCUAAGAUGGGUCCUGGUUAAGAGCACAUGGUCACGCCAUCAAUUUGAUAAGUAACUCUGGUUCAGUAAUUUCGAUGUUAGGAUAGGAUUAUUUUCAAAAUCUAAUUUCACUGCUAUGCAAUAGUUUCAUGAAGAGUUACGUUAGUAAAUAAAGUCACCUGAUUUAAUUUUGGGUAUUUCUGAAAGACCAUAAAUGCGAACAGGAAAAGAACCAGAAGAAUAAAAUUUACGAACCUGGUGAUCGUUAAAGUUCUUUUGUUUGAGUGUUAGUAAAAACUGUAACGAAGCUUCUCUCUUCAAAGAAGUAUCAUUUUUAAGUUUUAUGAAUUUUAUUUCGUUAUUACUAUGUUUGAUACGUUUUAUCAUACAUCUUUCAAUCCAGGGUCACAGUUCCACAGUUAGAGUGUAGCUUACGUAGUGUUCGAUGCUGAAGAAGGACACGUGAAAAAGGUUGAUAGUUGUAGACAUAAGAGUUAGUGAGAUGUGAAAGUUCAGCUUUUAAGAGGUUUUUGUUGUUGUUGUCAUUAAGGUAUGGUAUCGAGAAGUAAAGUUCACAUUUCAGCAGGUCGCAAUCUUCUUGUGAAAGCUUGCGAGAUUUCAAGUUAAAAUGAUAGUAUCGACAGAAAAAAUGCGAAGAUCAGCAUUACUAGUGAAGUUACGAAGUUUAUUUUGGUUGCAUUUGUAAGCUUUAUGUCCAGUGUCUUUCUAGACAACUUUAGAGAAGAAGUGAAAAUUAAUUUAAGCUGGGGCUUAAUAAAAUGUUGAAGAGUUUUAUAUUGUGAAAUGGUUCCUUGCUUUUUUUUGAAAGAUAGGUUUUCGUAUCUAUUUUGCAAAAACCUUUGUUUAAUUUCCAUAUGUAAAAUUCAUAAUUACGUUGCCUGCUUUGUUGCAACGAUCAGAAGUCAAACUUUGUCACCUUUCAAAAAA